rnacentral:lncRNA from 1 species
AAUGAUUCCAUCCGUCUCAUCACCAUCUGACAUGUAUUAGCGGCUGGCGAUCUCUCUCCUCUCGAUGGUGCACCACCUAGGGUUCAAGUUCGAUGCCCAAUAAGAUUACACAUGCUGCUUAUAUAUGCCGCCAAUAACCAUCAGGGUGUCCAUAAGAGUAUUCCAGAGGUGAUGGCUAAUUUUUUUGACAAUCAGCGGCUGGCAAUCUCUAGGGUUCAAGUAUGAUGCCCAAUAAGAUUACGUUUGCUGCUUAUAUAUGCCCCAACUACCACCAGUAUCUCUAUAUGAGUCCAUCUGAGGGAUAAUUUUUCUUUUGACAAUAAGGAGUUCACGGGGGAGACGCAUGCUGGAGGCAGCUAGCGGCAACCAACACGACGGCCUGACAAACUGCUAAGAAACGGAACUCCGGAAGCAAAUUUGUAUGGUGGUCUAUGGACUGCACUCAGUUAUUUUGUCUUUAUUAAGUUUUAAUGUACGUAUGCACUCUGUUUUCUUUUAAUUUCUCCAUCCUUUUUUUGGAAAUUGAAUGUGCAGUGUCAAUCUUAGAGAUUGACUCAUUAUUUUCACUCUUUAGGGUAGACGAUUUUAAAUGGGUCAGUUUUAGUUCUGCCUUCGCCCAU